UGGGGAAUAUUGCACAAUGGAGGGAACUCUGAUGCAGCGACGCCGCGUGAACGAAGAAGGCUUUCGAGUCGUAAAGUUCUUUUAUAUGGGAAGAUAAUGACGGUACCAUAAGAAAAAGCCCCGGCUAACUACGUGCCAGCAGCCGCGGUAAUACGUAGGGGGCUAGCGUUGUCCGGAAUCACUGGGCGUAAAGGGUUCGCAGGCGGAAAUGCAAGUCAGGUGUAAAAGGCAGUAGCUUAACUACUGUAAGCAUUUGAAACUGCAUAUCAUGAGAAGAGGAGAGGUAAGUGGAAUUUUUAGUGUAGCGGUGAAAUGCGUAGAUAUUAAAAAGAAUACCGGUGGCGAAGGCGGCUUACUGGGCUCAUUCUGACGCUGAGGAACGAAAGCGUGGGUAGCAAACAGG
rnacentral:rRNA from 1 species